AGCGAACGCUGGCGGCAGGCUUAACACAUGCAAGUCGAGCGGGCGUAGCAACACGUCAGCGGCAGACGGGUGAGUAACACGUGGGAACGUACCUUUUGGUUCGGAACAACUGAGGGAAACUUCAGAUAAUACCGGAUAAGCCCUAACGGGGAAAGAUUUAUCGCCGAAAGAUCGGCCCGCGUAUGAUUAGCUAGUUGGUGAGGUAAUGGCUCACCAAGGCGACGAUCAGUAGCUGGUCUGAGAGGAUGAUCAGCCACACUGGGACUGAGACACGGCCCAGACUCCUACGGGAGGCAGCAGUGGGGAAUAUUGGACAAUGGGGGCAACCCUGAUCCAGCCAUGCCGCGUGAGUGAUGAAGGCCCUAGGGUUGUAAAGCUCUUUUGUGCGGGAAGAUAAUGACGGUACCGCAAGAAUAAGCCCCGGCUAACUUCGUGCCAGCAGCCGCCGUAA
rnacentral:rRNA from 1 species